rnacentral:misc_RNA from 1 species
UAUUGUGCUAAUGAAAUUUCAAAAUGUUUUAUAGAAUAGGUAUGUAUAAUGUAAAAUAUAUACUCGUGCAUAGACGUUCUCUGUAGUAAGUGUUCAAAUAUUCUCGUGAGCCACUGUAAACAAAAUUGAGUCUGGAUUAUCCGAACCAAUCGUGGAACACACUAUUCGAAUAUUCGAAUUUCUCAGAUUCAAGAAUCUCGGAAGAAUCGAAUAAUUUCGUUUUCAUAAAUAUGAAUAUUAAACAAAAACUCUUGAAUAAAAAUAUAGUAAUUCUGCUCUUGCUUUGAUGCUGAAGGCAUCACUCAAUUUGUUCGUCGAAGAGUUACUUCGUCAACAAUUGAACAAUGGACGCUCCUCCUCACGAGAGACUUCACAGAUCCAAUAACUGUUACGUACCAAUAAUUGUGAUCGAAUACCGCUGGCCCAACGUAAUCAUUUAAACUGGAAAACAUGACGAUCACGAAACGCUAUGUCAACGAUAUGGACUAUCAGGAACUUUUCUUAU